CCUACGGGCGACAGCAGUGGGGAAUAUUGCGCAAUGGGCGAAAGCCUGACGCAGCGACGCCGCGUGAGGGAUGAAGGUCUUCGGAUCGUAAACCUCUGUCAGCAGGGAAGAACGGUCACUGUGCUAAUCAGCAGUGAAUUGACGGUACCUGCAAAGGAAGCACCGGCUAACUCCGUGCCAGCCGCCGCGGUAAUACGGAGGGUGCGAGCGUUAAUCGGAAUUACUGGGCGUAAAGCGCUCGUAGGCGGUAUGUCAAGUCAAGGGUGAAAUCCCCGCGCUCAACGUGGGAACUGCCUUUGAAACGGGCAAACUGGAGUGUGUGAGAGGAUAGUGGAAUUCCAGGUGUAGGAGUGAAAUCCGUAGAUAUCUGGAGGAACAUCAGUGGCGAAGGCGACUAUCUGGCACAUAACUGACGCUGAGGAGCGAAAGCGUGGGUAGCAAACAGGAUUAGAUACCCUUGUAGUC
rnacentral:rRNA from 1 species